rnacentral:lncRNA from 1 species
AUGGUGAUCCUUCGCUUAGAGUAUCGAUGAAAACCAGGGAAGUGAACUCCAAGCGAAGCGGAGAUCAAAUCGACAUAUUGAUAUGAAAAUUCAAUCUCUCGAUUUGACCUAAAAGAGGCUUUUUGUAGAAAAUACGUUUUAGAUGAAAUCCGAGCCUCUAGGGUUUCUCAAACAUGUAUUUUCGUGAUGCUUGAUGUGUUAGAGAACCCCAAUAGCUUAUUUAUAGACUUUAGAAUCAAUUGGAGUCGGAUUAGAAAGUUUUCAUGAUUUUACACUGUGUACCGGUACACGAAAGGCUGUCACCGAUGCAUAAUGACGGAACGAAAA